GGUAACCGGCUCACCAAGGCAUCGACGGGUAGCUGGUCUGAGAGGAUGAUCAGCCACACUGGAACUGAGACACGGUCCAGACUCCUACGGGAGGCAGCAGUGGGGAAUCUUGCACAAUGGGCGAAAGCCUGAUGCAGCGAUGCCGCGUGCGGGAAGAAGGCCUUAGGGUUGUAAACCGCUUUCAGGAGGGAAGAAAAUGACGGUACCUCCAGAAGAAGGUGCGGCCAACUACGUGCCAGCAGCCGCGGUGACACGUAGGCACCAAGCGUUAUCCGGAUUUAUUGGGCGUAAAGAGCUCGUAGGCGGUUUGGUAAGUCGGGUGUGAAAACUCUGGGCUCAACCCAGAGGGGCCACUCGAUACUGCUAUGACUAGAGUACGGUAGGGGAGCGGGGAAUUCCUGGUGUAGCGGUGAAAUGCGCAGAUAUCAGGAGGAACACCAGCGGCGAAGGCGCCGCUCUGGGCCGUAACUGACGCUGAGGAGCGAAAGCAUGGGUAGCAAACAGGAUUAGAUACCCUGGUAGUCCAUGCCGUAAACGUUGGGCACUAGGUGUGG
rnacentral:rRNA from 1 species